rnacentral:rRNA from 1 species
UAGCAAUACAUUGGUGGCGACCGGCGCACGGGUGAGUAACGCGUAUGCAACCUACCUAUCAGAGGGGAAUAACCCGGCGAAAGUCGGACUAAUACCGCAUAAAACAGGGGUUCCACAUGGAAAUAUUUGUUAAAGAAUUAUCGCUGAUAGAUGGGCAUGCGUUCCAUUAGAUAGUUGGUGAGGUAACGGCUCACCAAGUCCACGAUGGAUAGGGGUUCUGAGAGGAAGGUCCCCCACACUGGUACUGAGACACGGACCAGACUCCUACGGGAGGCAGCAGUGAGGAAUAUUGGUCAAUGGGCGAGAGCCUGAACCAGCCAAGUCGCGUGAAGGAUGGAGGAUCUAUGGUUUGUAAACUUCUUUUAUAUGGGAAUAAAGUGAGGAACGUGUUCCUUUUUGUAUGUACCAUAUGAAUAAGCAUCGGCUAACUCCGUGCCAGCAGCCGCGGUAAUACGGAGGAUGCGAGCGUUAUCCGGAUUUAUUGGGUUUAAAGGGUGCGUAGGUGGUUAAUUAAGUCAGCGGUGAAAGUUUGUGGCUCAACCAUAAAAUUGCCGUUGAAACUGGUUGACUUGAGUAUAUUUGAGGUAGGCGGAAUGCGUGGUGUAGCGGUGAAAUGCAUAGAUAUCACGCAGAACUCCGAUUGCGAAGGCAGCUUACUAAACUAUAACUGACACUGAAGCACGAAAGCGUGGGGAUCAAACAGGAUUAG